rnacentral:lncRNA from 1 species
AUAAAAAUUUUAAUUAACAUCCCUUACACAAUAACCAAAACGUACUCAAAACAUGAAGGAACAAACUAACUAAAAGAGAUACUCGAAAUAAGAACUAUAAAUAUAACUAUGAAGUCUUUAGGCGUCUCCUUCGCCGUCUUCAUGCGAAACGGGCUUGGGAACAACGUCUCCCUGAUCUGAAAUGGUUAAAUAAGGAAUGAGCUACACCAGCCCAGUGAAAACAUCACACUAUCUCACUGCCACGGAAGUAAAGGUGGGUAGAAAACAAAAAUGACCAAUGGAGCAUAAUUUAUAACAAACUCGUUUAUUAACAUAAAAACCUUUACUGUCAACUUACCUCGGUGAGAUCCAUGAAAACAACAUAUGAAAGCAAUAACAUUAUCAUCAUCAUAAAAUCAUAUAGACUUUAUAACAUAAUACUUACCACGUCUUUGCAUUUCAAUCAUUAAACAACAUAUUUUCCUCUUUUACCAGCCUAUUAGUAUCCAUGGGGAUCCAUAGGGGGUCCCCGCUACCCGUGAACCAUUAACAUUAAUAAGCUGAUUUCAUGGUCGUUCCCAUACCCCGUCCGGUAUGGGCGCCAAAACCAUAAACUUCCAUACCCCGUCCGGUAUGAGGG